CCCCACAGCGGAGCCGCAGGCCCAAGCCUGGGCCUUCCCCUCCCCCGCAUGACGAAGCACUUUUGGACCCCAAGCCCCGGGGCUGGCAGAGUGCUGAGUCACCGCGGCCCAGCCCACCCUCCCGCGGCCUCCACAAUCGCAGCCUGGCUCUUCCCAGGCCUGCGGUCCCUCCCCGCUCUGCCGCCCCAGGCAGCUGUUCCCGGAGGCAGGCCAGCCCCGCCCCGCCCCGCUGCCGCCUCCCCGAGUCACGAGGAGCCUCGGGCGGAGCAGGCGGAGGCCUGGUCAGCAGAGGCGCACAACAGAGCCCGUGUGGAGACGCCGAAGGCUUGGAGAGGGCAGAUCUGACACCCAGGGCUCCCCAACAGUGGGGAUCGGGCCCAAACAAACGCGGCUUUUCAUCUCAAGUGGUGAAGCCUGCCGGCUGUCCCUGACGGCUUCGGACAGCCCCUCCAAGGAAUAACAGACCGUCUUCCGCGCGUUCUUCUCGAGUUUUCUGGGCUCCUUUUUAAGGCUUGGCUUGUUAAACACGGCAUGAACCAUUCUUUCCCAGGUUAUCAGCCCCCCAGCGAGCACCCCGCAUUCCAGCCCUGUGCGGUUUCUAGAACUUUUAUUACGGUGCACGUUCGCAGUGUGUAACGGUUGCGUUCAGCGUGGGAGUGGGUGAGUGCACAUCAAACACCUUACUCUGCCCUGCGCCUGCCCCCCUGCCUGGGAGUCCCUUUCCUGCCUUCCCUCCUCUGCUCACUACCCCAAAGCCUCCCGCCCGCGUGCGCAUGUUGCCAUGGGUACUGGGAGGCCCGCAGAGCCAUCACCAAAGCUCCAUAUAUAUUUUUUUGUUUGGUUUGGUUUGGUUUGGUCUUUUUGAGACAUGGUCUCGCAGUUCAGGCGGGCCU